rnacentral:rRNA from 1 species
ACUUAAAUUGAAGAGUUUGAUCAUGGCUCAGAUUGAACGCUGGCGGCAGGCCUAACACAUGCAAGUCGAGCGGUAGCACAGAGAGCUUGCUCUCGGGGGACGAGCGGCGGACGGGUGAGUAAUGUCUGGGAAACUGCCUGAUGGAGGGGGAUAACUACUGGAAACGGUAGCUAAUACCGCAUAAUGUCGCAAGACCAAAGUGGGGGACCUUCGGGCCUCAUGCCAUCAGAUGUGCCCAGAUGGGAUUAGCUUGUAGGUGGGGUAACGGCUCACCUAGGCGACGAUCCCUAGCUGGUCUGAGAGGAUGACCAGCCACACUGGAACUGAGACACGGUCCAGACUCCUACGGGAGGCAGCAGUGGGGAAUAUUGCACAAUGGGCGCAAGCCUGAUGCAGCCAUGCCGCGUGUGUGAAGAAGGCCUUCGGGUUGUAAAGCACUUUCAGCGGGGAGGAAGGCGGUGAGGUUAAUAACCUCAUCGAUUGACGUUACCCGCAGAAGAAGCACCGGCUAACUCCGUGCCAGCAGCCGCGGUAAUACGGAGGGUGCAAGCGUUAAUCGGA